rnacentral:rRNA from 1 species
UCAGAGUACGUGAAACCGCUUAGGGGUUAAGCCCGAUGAACCUGAAUAUCUGAAUUGAGAAAUUCAAUACUGUUCUGAGUUUUUUUAACAAAACGACGAUACAGUGUGCACUUUUCUCAUAGUAGGACAUUGCGACCCAUUAGUAGUCUUUCUGAGACGGUUUAUCAAACGGCCCAUAUAGUCAGUUUAAUCUAUCUGCAAUACUUGUUAUUGUAUGGUUAAUGCUAUUGUGGUGACCUGGUAAACAGCUGAUGGAGCUUAAAAAUCAUGCUACCAUGCAAAUGUAUCACGGUUUCGACAUAUUUAUAUGUUGUGAAUGCAGUGAUCGCAUGUAUUUGAUUAGCAAUGCGAUAGAUUUGGGAUACCUUCGGGACCCGUCUUGAAACACGGACCAAGAAGUCUAACAUGUGUGUAAGUCAUUGGGUAUUUUGUUGAAACCUAAAGGCGUAAUUAAAAUAACUAUUAUGGGAUUACAAGCGAUCUUUAUGAUUGUUUCUCCAUCCCGGGGCGUUCUAUGUGAACAUGGUUUAAGCAAUUAGACCCUCUGUUCGAGAGCGUACCUUGAACAUACAUGCUGUGACCCGAA